rnacentral:rRNA from 1 species
UACGGAGGAGCAAGCGUUACUCGGAAUUAUUGGGCGUAAAGGGCGCGUAGGCGAUUGAAAGUCUUGUGUGAAGCCCGAGCUUAACUCGGGAAGUGCAACAAGAAACUGUUGAAUUUGAGUUCCGGAGAGGAAGGCAGAAUUCCCGGUGUAGCGGUGAAAUGCGUAGAUAUCGGGAGGAAUACCAGUGGCGAAGGCGGCCUUCUGGACGGAUACUGACGCUGAGGCGCGAAAGCCAGGGAGCAAAGCGGG